GGUUCCGUGCCCGGCGGUUCCAUGCCCGCCGGUGUUGCGGCUGCCGGUGUUGUGGCCGCCGGUGCUGCGCCCGCCGGGGCCG
rnacentral:tRNA from 1 species